rnacentral:rRNA from 1 species
AUUGAACGCUGGCGGCAUGCCUUACACAUGCAAGUCGAACGGCAGCACGGGGCAACCUGGUGGCGAGUGGCGAACGGGUGAGUAAUGCAUCGGAACGUGCCAUUGAGGUGGGGGAUAACGUAGCGAAAGUUGCGCUAAUACCGCAUAUUCUGUGAGCAGGAAAGCAGGGGGACCGCAAGGCCUUGCGCUCUUUGAGCGGCCGAUGUCAGAUUAGCUAGUUGGUGAGGUAACGGCUUACCAAGGCGACGAUCUGUAGCGGGUCUGAGAGGAUGAUCCGCCACACUGGAACUGAGACACGGUCCAGACUCCUACGGGAGGCAGCAGUGGGAAUUUUGGACAAUGGGGGCAACCCUGAUCCAGCCAUGCCGCGUGAGUGAAGAAGGCCUCGG